rnacentral:tRNA from 1 species
AGGGUUCGAAUCCCUCUCUCUCCU